rnacentral:lncRNA from 1 species
AGUCAUGCAGGAUCUUGCGGGCCCUGAUAAAGGGGUUGGGUUUGACUCAAAGAAGAGUUGAAAGUCACUGGAAGAUUUUGACAGACAAGUGAUAUGUUUUGGAAGCUUUUUGGAGAAUGAAUUUUGGUGGUCAGAGUGGAAGCCUGUUGGGCAGCUAUUACAGUUGUCCAGAGAGAGGACAAGGUGGUGAUUAGACCAUGGAGCAUUUCAAACUGAAGACUGCAUGAAAUCUGCUGGGCUGUGAUCCAAUUAAUGGCAAAGCAAUUCAACAUAAUUGACCCCCAAAUAGUUGACUCAGUGACACAUGGAUAGAGCUUUGACAGCUUAGCAGUGAGAUCAGGAAAGGAAAUUAAUAUGUGAUUUAAGUAAAUUCAGGAAUCUGGUAGUUUAAUGGACUUAGACACUUUCAUCCUUUGUUAUUAAAUUGAAUCUGGCCCAGUUAGGAGUUAUUGGAAAAUUGAUUGUAAUAAACUGGCGUCUGUGAUAUGCUUCUUCCUGGAUCACCUGGGGGAAAUGAUUCAACAACAGCACAGGCACACACUCACACACUUAACUUACACAGACCCACCUUGUGUUUCUUCCUAGCAGGGUGGGUGUAAAGUGUGAUAAAUGGUGAAAAGGUUUGGAACCAAAAGUAGGACUUAUGAAUGCCAGAAAACCCAGGGUUGGACAUAGUUCAAGCAACACAUUUUUAAUUAAAAGAAAAAAUUGGUCUUAAGCUUGUUUCUUCUAGAUUCAGGUUUCAUAUUUAAUCUAACAUUUUCAUGGCUGCUGUAAGGACUUGGGUUUGUUGCUUAAGUCUCCCUUGAAAUACCUGUUUAUUCAUUGGGUUUUAGACUCUACUGCUGUGACUCUUCCCCCACCACUUUAUCUAUGCAUGUGCGGGUAUAUGUGUCAUGAUAUAAUAUAUGUGAAGACAGCAGGUUUAAAUUUUUCAUUAGUUUGUUAGUGCAGAAGGAAUACAUAAUUAGAAAACUUUAAACCAUUAAGUGAAAUAACUCAGAAAUAGAAAAUCAAAUACGGCAUGUUCUCACUUAUAAGUAGGAGCUAAAUAAUGUGAACACAUGGACACAUAGAGCAGUAUAAUAGACACUGGAGUCUCAGAAAGGUGGGAUAGUGGAUAGCGGGAGGUGUUGGUGAGAG